rnacentral:rRNA from 1 species
UACGUAGGCAGCGAGCGUUGUUCGGAAUUACUGGGCGUAAAGAGUGUGUAGGCGGUGCUCUAAGUUCGGUGUGAAAUCUCCUGGCUCAACUGGGAGGGUGCGCCGGAAACUGGAGUGCUUGUGCGUGGGAGAGGAAAGCGGAAUUCCUGGUGUAGCGGUGAAAUGCGUAGAUAUCAGGAGGAACACCUGUGGUGUAGACGGCUUUCUGGACCAUAGCUGACGCUGAGACACGAAAGCGUGGGUAGCAAACAGG